GCUUCCGAGGGGACAACGGACUGAGGAGACGGUGUUACCUCAGGGGGAACACAGGGAUUCGGCCACCUAGCGCGCAUGCGUACGGCGUGAGGACCGGAGAGGGGGCGCCACUACGCAUGCCCAUCAGUUUACGCAGGGGGAGAAGAGCCCAGAGCAAAGGCUCCGGCCAUGCUGAUCAGCGGGAACAGCCUGCACACAGGACCCCACCCAGCAAGAUCCGCCUCCAGCCGAAGUUACGGGCCUCGCGUGCGGCGGGACGUGGGCUCUGGCCGCUGAAGAGGCUGGGAUGGGAAACCCUCCGGCUACGUCUACACGGGGCGCCCUACAGCAUGCAGCGGCGCGGCCCUUUGUCGGUCGGGGAGAGCGCGCCUGGCGCCAAAAUAAAACCACGGACGCCAGCACCGUUUGUUGGGCCGGGGUGGGUUUUUUCCACGCCUCCCCCGGCCGACAAAAGUGUUACCGACCAACGUGCAGCGUAGAGGUAGCCGAAGAGCGAGAGAGACUAGCGGAGAAGUUACACACAGACCGGUGAUGUUUGCAUGGCAAGCAACGAGAGUCUCUGAGAAGGGGGUGCCCUCUAAGAACACGAAGGCACUGUAUGAAUGACGCCUGCUGCCCCGUGCGCUGUCGCUGGGAGUGAAAGCGCAGCAUCCGUGGAUUGAGAGGAAUGUCAAUGAGAACUAACAAGGGCCUCGGGCAUUAGGAGCCAGAAUCUGCCCUGAGUGUAUAUGCAAAGUAAAUGUGACAAAGGCAGGAGUUAUUCCGAACUUUCAUUGCUGUCACUGAACUGUAGGAUUGGCACAUUUUGCUUCCCUCUUUAGGAAUGAGAAGUACAAAGUCCUAAGGGACUCUAGUCUCUUGGGGGAAAGUGAGGUCACAGAGAAAAUGAGUGACACAACUCAAUUCUGGUCCCACAAGCCUGGUCUACACUACAGAAAUUUACCAUUCAAACCUCCUAGAACCCUGGCCGUGGUGGAUUCUUCAUCACUGACCAUUUUAAAAUCAAGAUUGGAUGUUUUUCUACAAGAUCUGCUCUAGAAAUUAUUUUGGGGCAGUUCUCUGGCCUGUGCUAUACAGGAGGUCAGACUAGAUGAUCACCGUUGUCCCUUCUCGCCUUGGAAUCGAUGAAUCUUGGAAAAACGCUUAUUGACACAAAAGCGCUUGAGCUGCUUUCACAGUCAGGGAUAGGCUUGAUUUAUGCAAGUCUGAGGACACUCUGAAUGGUUUCUGAGCUACUGCAGACAUGGACCAAUUAAAUGGUUCAGCUAGUCCUCCUGCUACUGUCCCACAAUGCAUUCUUGGUCCUUCACAGUCUCCCAGAAUCCACUGCUUCUCUUAUGUGUCGGAUAGGUAGGCAGCCUGAAGCCAUUGCCACUGAAACAGUUUAGAAUGGCGUCUUGUGGAUUCAGGGCAAUCCUGCACUGGUUCUUCAACCAGAUCAGCAUGCCUGGUUGUUGAAUUCACUGAACUGUGCUUAAGGCAGUCCUGUCCAAUUACAAGUAGCUCAGCUCUCCUAUAGACAGUGCACCAGCAAAGAGAGAAUUAAGUCCAAGCCCGAGGAAGCAGCAAAGAUCCACUCAUCUAAGAGAGAACAUCCCCAGUUACUUUUAAAAUACUCUUUGAACAAGCUGCUCUUAAAAGAAGUUGCCAGCUCCUCUCUGUGCAUGGCUUAAAACACAACAUUGGGUUCAUGGACUAUCCCAUAGGGCAGAUACAUUGUCCUGAGCCCUUAGGCACUCCUUAAUUUGGGAUGUAAGAGAUCAUGAACAGACAACUUUGUAAAGGAAUAUUAGUUAUUUGUAUGACAGCACCUGGGGCCCCAUUGUGUACACACACCAAGCAAGAGAAUCACUAUAAUGAAGAGAUCACGGUCUAAAUAGACAGGACAGGCAAAGAGUGGGAGAGGAAACUGAAGCACAGCUGGGGAGUGACUUCCCCAAGUUACAGUUGUCUAUAUUUUGCCUAUACUUUAUGAAUUUGUGACAUGGAGGCCAUAGGUCAAAUCCACUGUACUUCUAGGGGAAAUUAAUUUUCCUGAAGCAGCUGUAAACACCCAGGCUAGCCUGAAACGUUCUCAAGCUGUGGUCUGCAGAAUAAAAUAUGCAGAAUAAAAGCAACGGGAUUAGGGAGACUCCUCUCCUGAGAAGAUUGCUGUCAUGAAAUGCAAAAGUCUGACAACUCAGAAUCCAAUGCCAACUCUCCAUCAAGGGUGUCCAGAUUACACCGAUAACUUGUCUUUAGACAGUUGAUUCGUGCCAGCCAGGCCGGGAUGACCUCUCCACCACUAGUAGCUAGCAGCUGGGGUCCUUGGAGGAUCUAUUUUUGGACCAUUGCCAUUUGUCUUGUAGGCUGAUGGCUUUGAUGCUUAUCAUUUUUCUGCAGCCAGCAGCCCAUCUUGUUUGCUGGUGGUGACUCCCCAUUAGAUAAUAAUUCACCCUACUGCCCCACCCCCACUUGCCUGGCACACCAGUUUUCACUCGUACCAGGAGCCCUUUGAAAUGGCACAUCAAGUGCCUACCUUCACUUAUGGCACUGGGUCCGAUACACCAUAUGUAGGGGCAGUGCAGGCCAGGGCAUUAAUCGAGUACAUUGCUUGGUAUAAAUCCCCGGGGGUGGUUUGUGGGGACACUCCCCAUUGACAGCAUUUGAUGCAAGUGAUUCAGAAAUGAACCUAGCCAUCAAGCUUCCUUCAGGGUGGAGAACCCUUCAUUAGAGGGGGCAGAAAGGUCCAGUGGUUAGUGUGUGCGUGAGUGAGAAGGCAGGACAUAUAACAAGAGAGACUCAGACACAGAGGCAGCAAGAAAACCAAACAGUAGCUUGCAAGCAUGCCGUGAUGCCCGGGAGAAGCCUAGAAAGAGGUUCUGGGUUGGGCGUGCUGGCUGAAAAGAAGCUGGGGCCUGUAAGCUAAGCAGCUAUUCCUUUCGCCUUCAGUUCUGUUUGCGGAAGCAGGUCUUUGUACAUUUCUUGUAACUAAACAAGACUGCACCAAAGAAAACACCAGCCUUCAACUUGGCGCAGCCGCUUGGUUCGAAAGGGACACCACCACCACCAGUAUAAGUGAAAGGCGGAUCACACCAGCUCCUCAGCAGACAUGCUCACGUGUUUCCAUUUGUCAUAGAUAUAGGUAACCUUGCUGACAUAAAAUAAGGACACCCCACUCCUCUCUCAAAGACUGAAAGCUCAAAUCAGGCCCCAAAUCCUGGGUCGUUUGAGGGUCUGGAUGGGUCAUUUCCAUGCAGCACGUGCUUCCAGACAGGAAUGCCACCAAAAAUACAAAGUCUCUUCUGGAAGCUCUGACCAAGCCGGAACCAGCAUGUGCCAGGACUCAGACAAGAAAGCCCACCCUCACCUGAUUUCCAGCCAAAGAGGUUGGGAGAGUAGCCAAAAAUCUGGGUGUUUUUGGAGUUCCAGCCCAUUUUGUCCAUCCAUUUAUUUUUCUUUGAUGUUUGUAGAAGAUGGUGCAGGCCCCUUGUCCAUGCUGGUCUGUGCAAACACAUGGAAGGGAAGAGUAACCAUGUGACUGCCAGGGCGUGUUUCCCCCAAGGAGAGGUUGUCAGAGCGGGAUAAAGGUCUUUGUAUUUCAGGCUUCUGUCACCUUCCUUGUGGCAGUUGAGGGAACUAAGGGGUCCUGGAGUCUCUGACAUGGGUAGUGGCUCAAACCUGCCCUUUCCUUUUCUCCUUUGACAGUUAUAAUUACAAUGCCCUGUUUGUGGACACAGAGAUCUAUGUAUAGACACAGAGAGAGACCUACACCCAGACACGCACAGAGAGACCUCCGGAUGGACACGCACCUGUAGACAAGUGCAGGUUCACUGUAGCCACAGGUUCAUCAAUACCCUUGUGGGGAGAACUGAAAACGGAGUAACCGCACUGCCGCAUUGUUUCCUGGCUCCCAUGCAUUCUAGGCAGCUGUAAUUCCUACCCUUGGGGCUGGAAAACGCCUUCUGCUGAUCAAUAGCAUGCUCAGGCUUUGGUUGCAGCCCCCUGUGCAGCAAUUUCGAGCUGACCUCCAAGCCAUGCAGUAGUUUGAUUGUCACCCCCCACUGCUGGCAGAAUGGAAGCUGACAUACAACUGUGAACCCGUGUUAACCUCACUCUCUCCUGCACGCCUACAAGCAGCAGCUGGGGAAUUUUUUCUCAGGCACAGCGUAGUGGCACGGGACACAUACAGCAACAUCAGUGCUUUCUCAGCACGCAACUCUGUGCCGACGUGGAUGCACCCUGGCAUCAUUAAUUAUACAGUAAUGCUACUGAGGUUUAAUGUAUUUAAACUUACCAGCUCCACAGGAACUUGGCUGGCCAGCCACCUUCCCCCUUCAUCAUCUAGGAAGCAGACUCUCAGCCCCUCCAGAGACCCUCCAAACGGGUCUUUUGCGGCAUGCAGGGCUUAAUUUGUGCCAGGACUUGCCAGGGCUGAGCCCCAGCACCUCUGCGGUUGGCGCAUCAGUUAUGAAACUAAAAAAACUGCUUGAGCCCCAGCACAUCUUUCAUUACAAAUUAAGCACUGGCGCCAUGGCCAGAAGUCAGACCAAGGGGGCAAACGGGGAACAAUUUUCAGAGUGCUGGAGCCCUCAGAGAGCACCUUGCUAGCCACCCCAGGUCAAGCACCCUUGCUGACCACAGCUGUGGCAGCAUGGGCUGGGGAGAGAGGCAGGCAAAUGCAGCCCUCUUCACCCUCUUAUUUCAUGCAGAGAACCAGCUGCUGGUUUGAUUGCUGCUGAUCUCCGCUCAUGCAAUAGUGUCAGCUGCAGGAAUUAUUACAGUGGUGGGGUAGCAUCCAGAGGCCCCAGCUGAGAUCAGGACCCCAUUGUGGCAGAUGCUGUGCAGAUGCAGAGACAGUCCCUGUCCCAGACUGCUCCCAGCCUAGCCAGGAUGGACAAUGCGUGGGAGGGGAAACAGAAGAAAUGAUUUGCCCAGAAGCUUGGUGGCAGUGCAAGGACUAGAACUCACAGCUCCUGACUUCCAGGCCGGUGCCUGUUCCAUUAGACCCCAUUGCUUCUCAUUCUCGGUCAGGUGUUACUCUCUUUGUAAAGCUCCAUGCGCAUC